CCGAGUUUACAACUCCCAAACCAUUGUGAAUCUUACCUUUUCGUUGCUUCGGCGGGAUCGCCCCGGGCGCCAUCGUGUGCCCCGGAUCCAGGCGCCCGCCGGGGGACCUAAACUCUGUCGUUUAGUGGUAUUUCUGAGUGGAUUAUCAAAUAAUCA
rnacentral:misc_RNA from 1 species